rnacentral:lncRNA from 1 species
AUGGAGUCUUGCUCUGCUGCCCAGGCUGGUGUGCAAUGGCACAAUCUCAGCUCACUGUGACCUCAGCUUCCCAGAUUCAAACGAUUCUCCCCCCUCAGCCUCCCAAUCCCCCACCCCCCACCCCUGCGAGUAGCUGGGAUUACAGGCACCCGCCAUCGUGCCUGGCUAAUUUUUGUAUUUUUGUAGAGACAAGGUUUCACCAUGUUGGCCAGGCUGGUCUUGAACUGACCUCAGGUGAUCCACCCACCUUCGCCUCCCAAGUGGUGAAAUAACAGGUGUGAGCCACCGCUCCCCAACUCAACCCAAAUUUUUAAAAUGGGCAGAGUAUUUGAACAGGUUCCCCAACAAAGAAGAUACACAUGGCAAAUAAGCGCACAAAUGAAUGCUCAACACCACUAGUAAUUAAGGGAAUUCAAUUACUACUUACUGGAGGCUAAGAGACCAGUUAGGGGGUUAUGAGAGAAAUUGUGGAUUAAAAUUAUAUAUGAUAGAAGUGGUUGGGAUGGAGAGGAGAGGAUAUGAGGAAUAUCGAGGAGAUAAAAUUGCAAAAACUUCACACUUGGUUGGAAGUGGAAGCUGACGUGUAAGAGAAUCAGCAAUGAUUCUCAGUUUUCCAAUUUGAGCAAAGGAGUGGAGGCCACUGAUAGACUCUGAGGUAAUGAAACACAAGGUGGAGCAGAUCUAGGCGGGUAUGGAGGAAGAGAUGUGAUCAUUGAAGUAUUUCCUUUGUUGUUGUGUUGUUGGAAUAUUGUAAGUCAAAUCCCUGACAUCAUGUUGUUCCAUCUCUACACACUUUAACAUGUAUCACUAAAAGUAGGGACACUUUCUCCCAUAAUCACAGUGCUGUGAUCCCUCCUGAGGAUAUGCUCAAUGAUUCUGAUUAUCAUCCCAUACAUAGUCCACAGUCAUAUAUACUUGAUUAUCACGAGUAUCUCUCUUUUUGCAGUCUACUUAUUGGAAUCAAAAUCCUGACAAGGUCCACCCUGCACACCACAUUCUCACAAAGGUCCUCUCGUCCUGAGCAGUCCUCCCUGCCACUGAUUUGUUGUCCUUCACAAUGUCCCACAAUCUGCGCCUGUCUUUGUUCUCCUUCGUGGUGCUUCUUAACUUCUUCUAUGCCCUGAAUUUCCUAUAAUGGGGAAGGAGCUCUAAAGCCUGGUCAUAGGAACACUUCAUGAACAGUACUGUGCAUGGCACACGAUCUCUAGCCAUCCCACUUGUCACGCUAAAAUCGAUGACUCGCUUCUGGUGGUGUCAGCCUGACUCUUUGGACAUGCUGAGUAACCAGAGUGAGAAAGGAAGAGGGCUUCAACCAGAGGAAGAGGAGCAGAGAAAACAGGGAAGGAGAAUUCAGGGAAUUGUGGAAAAUUGAGGGAGCAGCAGCAUGGGGGCUGAAGAAAGAAGGGUCGAGUGUCGCUGGGCAGCCAAGAAGAGACAAACGGGUCAGAUGGUUUUCACAAUUGAUGGCUGAUAACUUGUAUGAGAGCAGCUUUAAUGGAGGGAUUAAGGUGUAAGUCAGAUUGCCCUGGAUGGCAGUGUGAAUAGGGGUGGGAAGUGGAGGGGAAGGAAUAUCAAUAACAAUUUCAGGAAUUUGGCUGUAAGACGGGGGAAAGAGAUGGGAGACGUGAGCAUGGGAAGACGGAUGUUGAAAAAAGAGGUUGUGUUUAUUCUGUGGCUGUUUUGAUGGGAGAGACAUUCAUGCUGGGAGGUUGAAUAUUUAGGAACCAUAAGGAACUAUUACUAACAAAGAAAGUUCCAGAAACAUUCCUGGUUGGAAGGUUUCACUGUUUUGUUCAUUCAUUUCAUAUAUUUUUCUAACUCUCUACCAUUGUUUUUUGUUGUGAGCUCAACUGGUCUAGGAGACACAGAUUUUGAAACAUGAUGAAAUUAUUCAGUAAAGCUGGUGUUAGAUGC